rnacentral:rRNA from 1 species
GACGCGGCGACGGGUGAGUAACACGUAUCCAACCUGCCGAUAACUCGGGGAUAGCCUUUCGAAAGAAUGAUUAAUACCCGAUGGUAUAAUAAAACCGCAUGGUUUAAUUAUUAAAGAAUUUCGGUUAUCGAUGGGGAUGCGUUCCAUUAGGCAGUUGGUGAGGUAACGGCUCACCAAACCUUCGAUGGAUAGGGGUUCUGAGAGGAAGGUCCCCCACAUUGGAACUGAGACACGGUCCAA